rnacentral:rRNA from 1 species
GCCGGUCCUUAGAGCGAAGUGGAACGACCCGUUCCCAUUCCGAACACGGAAGUCAAACACUUCAGCGCCGACGAUAGUUGAUCCGCAAGGAUCUGCGAAAAUAGGUCAGGGCUGGCC